GGAGGAUUAGCUCAGUUGGGAGAGCACCUGCCUUACAAGCAGGGGGUCGUAGGUUCAAGUCCUACAUUCUCCACCA
rnacentral:tRNA from 1 species